rnacentral:rRNA from 1 species
UACGGAGGGUGCAAGCGUUGUCCGGAAUUAUUGGGCGUAAAGAGCUCGUAGGCGGUUUGUCGCGUCUGCUGUGAAAACUCGGGGCUUAACCCCGGGCCUGCAGUGGGUACGGGCAGACUAGAGUGCCGGAGGGGAGAGUGGAAUUCCUGGUGUAGCGGUGAAAUGCGUAGAUAUCAGGAGGAAUACCGGUGGCGAAAGCGACUCUCUGGACGGCAACUGACGCUGAGGCACGAAAGCGUGGGGAGCAAACAGG